AUGGUGCAUUGACUUGGUCAA
rnacentral:miRNA from 1 species